ACCCCGGUAUUAUUGCUGUCAUGGGUUUUAAUCGAGCUUAGCCUUGUUCAUUUUUUUACACAACACCCCAUAAAAGAUCCUACACGGCCCGCUCAAGCCUGCAGGACCCAAAGAGACGCAGAGGCAAAAAACGCCCAAAAACGCCUGAAAAAAGGCUCUGCGGUGCUUUCUCAGCACAA
rnacentral:sRNA from 1 species